GCCUGCUUACCACACACUACAAAACAUCUGCAACAAUAAGCCAUCGUCACCAAUGUACUUGCAAUCAAAUGGCUAUUCGGAACGGAGAACAACGGAUUGUCUAUGUUAAUGAUUAUGAUGAAGAUGAACAGAUGCCUGUUGUACAGUAUUCGCAGAACCCUGCAAAUCUGAUACAAGCAUUCUUCCAUGGUGAGCAACCUAAUGUUCCAAGACAUUCUUGCCGGAGAGUAGUGCAGAAGAAUGGCCAAUUUGUUUAUGAUGAAGAAGUCAUAUACUACAAAUAAGAUCAGUUGGAAACAUGGCACCUAAUAAUUCAGCAACUGAUUGCUUUGUCUCCAUGAUGAUUUAAAUGUUAAUUCAUUUACUUUCUUUACAUAUGUUUAUCAUAAUUGUAACAUGAUUAUUACUAUAAUUCUGUUUUACGUCUAAAAGAUCAGCACUUUGUCUCUUAACAAUCAUCAAAUAACCUUAAUUUAAAGUACUUGUCAGGC